UAAGGCGUGCCGCUGCAAACUGGCCUCUGGGCCGGGGGCGAGCAGCCCCCGGGAGGCCGAGUGCAUCUGUUGGACCGUGCGAGGAGAAGAAAAAAAAUAUCGGCCAGAGGAGAGGAACUAACCGAACAUUCUUCCUCCCUACCUUAUAGAGGGGAGUGGUCAUCUACACUAAAGCAAAGUGUUAGGCGCGUCCGUGCGAAGAGACCACCAAACAGGCUUUGUCCAAAGCUGGACUGUACUGCUGCCAUCUCGGCUCACUGCAACCUCCCUGCCUGAUUCUCCUGCCUCAGCCUGCCGAGUGCCUGCGAUUGCAGGCACGCGCCGCCACACUUGACAGGUUUUCAUAUUUUUUUGGUGGAGACGGGGUUUCGCUGUGUUGGCUGGGCUGGUCUCCAGCUCCUAACCGCGAGUGAUCCACCAGCCUCGGCCUCCCAGGGUGCCGGGAUUGCAGACGGAGUCUCGUCUCGUUCACUCAGUGCUCAAUGGUGCCCAGGCUGGAGUGCAGUGGCAUGAUCUUGGCUCGCUACAACCUCCACCUCCCAGCCGCCUGCCUUGGCCUCCCAAAGUGCCGAGAUUACAGCCUCUGCCCAGCCGCCACCCCGUCUGGGAAGUGAGGAGCGUCUCUGCCUGGCCACCCAUCGUCUGGGAUGUGAGGAGCCCCUCUGCCUGGCUGCCCAGUCUGGAAAGUGAGGAGCGUCUCUGCCCGCCCGCCAUCCCAUCUAGGAAGUGAGGAGCGCCUCUUCCCGGCCGCCAUCCCAUCUAGGAAGUGAGGAGCGUCUCUGCCCGGCCUCCCAUGGUCUGAGAUGUGGGGAACGCCUCUGCCCUGCCGCCCCGUCUGGGAUGUGAGGAGCGCCUCUGCCCGGCCGCGACCCUGCCUGGGAGGUGAGGAGCGUCUCUGCCCGGCUGCCCCAUCUUGAGAAGUGAGGAGACCCUCCGCCCGGCAGCCUCCCUGUCUGAGAAGUGAGGAGCCCCUCCGCCCGGCAGCCACCCCAUCUGGGAAGUGAGGAGCGUCUCCGCCCGGCAGCCACCCUGUCGGGGAGGGAGGUGGGGGGUCAGCCCCCCGCCCAGCCAGCCGCCCCGUCCAGGAGGGAGGUGGGGGGGUCAGCCCCCCGCCCGGCCAGCCGCCCCGUCCGGGAGGGAGGUGGGGUGGUCCAGCCCCCCGCCCGGCCAGCCGUCCCGUCCUGGAGGGAGGUGGGGGGGUCAGCCCCCCGCCCGGCCAGCCGCCCCGUCCGCGAGGUGAUGGGCGCCUCUGCCCGGCCGCCCCUACUGGGAAGUGAGGAGCCCCUCUGCCCGGCCACCACCCUGUCUGGGAGGUGUACCCAACAGCUCAUUGAGAAUGGGCCAUGAUGACAAUGGCAGUUUUGUGGAAUAGAAAAGGGGGAAAGGUGGGGAAAAGAUUGAGAAAUCGGAUGGCUGCUGUGUCUGUGUAGAAAGAAGUAGACAUGGGAGACUUUUCAUUUUGUUCUGUACUAAGAAAAAUUCUUCUGCCUUGGGAUCCUGUUGAUCUAUGACCUUACCCCCAAUCCUGUGCUCUCUGAAACAUGUGCUGUGUCCACUCAGGGUUAAAUGGAUUAAGGGCGGUGCAAGAUGUGCUUUGUUAAACAGAUGCUUGAAGGCAGCAUGCUCCUUAAGAGUCAUCACCACUCCCUAAUCUCAAGUACCCAGGGACACAAACACUGCGGAAGGCCGCAGGGUCCUCUGCCUAGGAAAACCAGAGACCUUUGUUCACUUGUUUAUCUGCUGACCUUCCCUCCACUAUUGUCCUAUGACCCUGCCAAAUCCCCCUCUGCGAGAAACACCCAAGAAUGAUCAAUAAAAAAAUAAAUAAAUAAAUAAAUAAAUAAAAAAGAAAAAAAUGCGCAGACUAAAAGAGAAAGAAAAGGGAAUCCUAUUACCCUAGCAAGCCAUCUAUUUUGUUUUCCUUAUCCUCUGAAAAGAUUACUGAUGAAGAGUCAGAUGUUGAUUUUAGCUCUCAUUACAAUUCUUGAGCAAGUCAUCAUAUUUGCUGGUAUAUAAGACAUAUUUAAAUAUUAGAAAGAAACAUUUUGGUCAGGCACAGUGGUUCACACCUACUGUAAUCCCAGCACUAUGAGAGGCCAAAGUGGGCAGAUAGCUUGAGCCCAGGAAUUCGAGAGCAGCCUAGGCAACAUGGUAAUACCCCGUCUUAAAAAAUAAAUAAAUGUUUUACAAGAAAAGCACUUUAAGAAAAUAUUUCAUCAUGCAUGUGCUAAAAGCAAUUUUAAAGUGGUUUGGUAAAGGAAAAAUAAAUUGUAUUAAUAUAUAGUA
ensembl:lncRNA OIP5-AS1 OIP5 antisense RNA 1